CGAACGGGUGAGUAACGCGUGAGGAACCUGCCUCAAAGAGGGGGACGAACAGUUGGAAACGACUGCUAAUACCGCAUAAGCCCACGGGUCGGCAUCGACCAGAGGGAAAAGGAGCAAUCCGCUUUGAGAUGGCCUCGCGUCCGAUUAGCUAGUUGGUGAGGUAAUGGCCCACCAAGGCGACGAUCGGUAGCCGGACUGAGAGGUUGAACGGCCACAUUGGGACUGAGACACGGCCCAGACUCCUACGGGAGGCAGCAUG
rnacentral:rRNA from 1 species